rnacentral:piRNA from 1 species
UGAAAGGAAUCUGGAUGGCCUGUUAAGG